rnacentral:rRNA from 1 species
UACAGAGGUGGCAAGCGUUGCUCGGUAUCACUGGGCUUAAAGGGCGCGUAGGCGGUGCGGUACGGUUUCGGUGAAAUCCCUCGGCCCAACCGAGGAACAGCCGGGGCUACGGCCGUGCUAGACGGCAUCAGGGGACAGUGGAACUCCCGGUGGAGCGGUGAAAUGCGUAGAUAUCGGGAGGAACACCGGUGGCGAAGGCGGCAUCCUGGACCAAUACUGACGCUGAGGAGCGAAAGCCAGGGGAGCAAACGGG